UGUAGGAGCUGCCGAAGGCUGCGAUCUUUUGAUCUUGAUCUUAAAAACAAAAUCAAAAGAUCGCAGCCUUCGGCAGCUCCUACA
rnacentral:antisense_RNA from 1 species